rnacentral:lncRNA from 10 species
CUUAACUUCUUAGAAUGAAAACUUGGGCUUGCUCAUGGAAAAGCCAGACUGUAAAAUAUUUUAAAGAGGUUUAUUCUGAGCCAAUAGGAGUGGUCAUGGCCUGAGGAACACAAGCUCAAGAGGUCCUGAGUCUUAAAGCCAUUUGGUGUUAAGCACCAUUGUUAUACGUACUUGAGUAAUGGGAAAACUGAGGCACACAGAAGGUGAGUAAUUUGAAGACUAUACAGUUCAACAAGUGACAGAGCUAGUAUUCAAACCGAGGCAGCCUGGCCCCUGAAACUGUGUUCCGUAGCUACUGUGUCAUGCUGCUUCUCCAUUGACCAGGAUCGGUGAUUCAGAAGUUGCUGUGUGCAGAGCCUUUAAAUGCCAAUCUUUCACUCUGUCCUCCCAACAGCCCUGAGCAGUAAGGCCUGUUAUUACCAGAUUAAAGAACUGAGGUUCCC